UUUGAUCCUGGCGUCAGAUUGAACGCUGGCGGCAGGCCUAACACAUGCAAGUCGAGCGGUAGAGAGGUGCUUGCACCUCUUGAGAGCGGCGGACGGGUGAGUAAUACCUAGGAAUCUGCCUGGUAGUGGGGGAGUAACGUUCGGAAACGGACGCUAAUACCGCAUACGUCCUACGGGAGAAAGGCAGGGGACCUUCGGGCCUUGCGCUAUCAGAUGAGCCUAGGUCGGAUUAGCUAGUUGGUGAGGUAAUGGCUCACCGAGGCUACGAUCCGUAACUGGUCUGAGAGGAUGAUCAGUCACACUGGAACUGAGACACGGUCCAGACUCCUACGGGAGGCAGCAGUGGGGAAUAUUGGACAAUGGGCGAAAGCCUGAUCCAGCCAUGCCGCGUGUGUGAAGAAGGUCUUCGGAUUGUAAAGCACUUUAAGUUGGGAGGAAGGGCAUUAACCUAAUACGUUAGUACUUUGACGUUACCGACAGAAUAAGCACCGGCUAACUCUGUG
rnacentral:rRNA from 1 species